GCGCGCGCACUGCUUCUCAAGAUCCUA
rnacentral:sRNA from 1 species